UACGAACUGUGCGAACGUUAUUCGGAAUCACUGGGCUUACAGGGUGCGUAGGCGGCCGAACAAGUCAGGUGUGAAAGCCCUCGGCUCAACCGAGGAACUGCGCUUGAAACUGUUUGGCUCGAGUCAACUAGAGGUGCACGGAACUUCCAGUGGAGCGGUGAAAUGUGUUGAUAUUGGGAAGAACACCGGUGGCGAAGGCGGCGAGCUGGUCCAUUACUGACGCUGAGGCGCGACAGCGUGGGGAGCAAACAGG
rnacentral:rRNA from 1 species